CCCAUAUGGUCGACCUGCAGGCGGCCGCGAAUUCACUAGUGAUUAGAGUUUGAUCCAGGCUCAGAACGAACGUUGGCGGCGUGGUUAAGGCAUGCAAGUCGAGCGAUCUUAUUGAGUUUUGAGGCCGCAAGGUCAAGAGACUUGAUUUGAUAGCGGCAAAAGGGUGAGGAAUACGUGGGUAAUCUACCUUCGGGACGGGGAUAACACUCCGAAAGGAGUGCUAAUACCGGGUAAGACCACGGCUCCGCAUGGAGCUGUGGUAAAAGAUGGGGACCGUAAGGCCUAUCGUCUGAAGAGGAGCCCAUGUCCUAUCAGCUAGUUGGCGGGGUAAUGGCCCACCAAGGCUUUUGACGGGUAGCUGGUCUGAGAGGAUGGUCAGCCACAUUGGGACUGAGACACUGCCCAGACUCCUACGGGAGGCUGCAGUCGAGAAUCUUUCGCAAUGGACGAAAGUCUGACGAUGCGACSCCGCGUGAGGGAUGAAGGUCUUCGGAUCGUAAACCUCUGUCACACGGGAAGAACGU
rnacentral:rRNA from 1 species